rnacentral:rRNA from 1 species
UGGGGAAUUGUUCGCAAUGGGCGCAAGCCUGACGACGCAACGCCGCGUGGAGGACGAAGAUCUUCGGGUCGUAAACUCCUUUCGAUCGGGAAGAACGGCUCCGGGGCCAAUAUCCCUGGAGAGUGACGGUACCGAGAGAAGAAGCCCCGGCUAACUCCGUGCCAGCAGCCGCGGUAAUACGGGGGGAGCAAGCGUUGUUCGGAUUUACUGGGCGUAAAGGGCGCGUAGGCGGCCACCGCAAGUCGACUGUGAAAUCUCCGGGCUUAACUCGGAAAGGUCAGCCGAUACUGCGGGGCUAGAGUGCAGAAGGGGCAACUGGAAUUCUCGGUGUAGCGGUGAAAUGCGUAGAUAUCGAGAGGAACACCUGCGGCGAAGGCGGGUUGCUGGGCUGACACUGACGCUGAUUGUGCGAAAGCUAGGGGAGCGAAC